CUACCCCAUGCUGGCUAAUAUGGCGGGAAGGAGCGCUCAGGAGCGUACGAGGCUGCGCCUGCGCCCCCAUGGUCACCACGACACCGGGAAAUGGAGUGUGGGGCCAGCGCAGUUUUAACGCAGCGUGAAGCGUUAAAUGAAUUACUUUCAAAGCUUCAAGUGGCUAUUUCGUGGCUGACGGAGUGUGGAGAAGUGGGCAGCUCUGAGGUAGAGAGAGAAAGAGAUUCGAUGAAGGGUUGAAAAACGUGGAAGGAGGGCAGGGGGUUAGUCUAACGUCGAAACGUGUCCCGCUGGGCUGGAUUCAAGGCGGCCGAUUUACCGCGGUUCUGUUUCAAUUUGGCACCGCUCCAUUGGCUCUCUCUCUCGUUCAAAUCAACCCCAAUGGAGAAUAAAAUGAAACGAGAACAUCGAUACCAAAAAUUACUUGAAAACUCCAUGAUAAGGACGUCGAGUAAAUUCCAUGGAAGUGGGACUAGAACGAAAUAAGAAUUCUCGACGAGAAAAAGCUUCAUUGUAGCGAAGCAAAUCGCCGGAUUGCAAUGUAAAGCAGUGGUACUUCUUUCCCGGAAUGGCAAUCUAAUAUUUAAAUCUUCCUGGAAGUAAGGUAGCUCGAAUCGAACGCCCCGGGUGUUUCACGAGAAGAUUCGUGCGAAGUACAUUGUCGUGAAGACUAAACCACAAUUCUACGUACGAUAUUUUUAACAGUUCCACGUUCUUCGCUUCACCGUUUCUUCCGUUAAGUAAC